rnacentral:rRNA from 1 species
GGACAACCCGCCGAAAGGCGGGCUAAACCCGCGUACAUGCCACCGGGGCAUCCCGGAGGCAGGAAAGGCUUCGCCGGACAGGGAUGGGCAUGCGGCGCAUUAGGCAGUAGGCGGGGUAACGGCCCACCUAACCGACGAUGCGUAGGGGUUCUGAGAGGAAGGUCCCCCACACUGGUACUGAGACACGGACCAGACUCCUACGGGAGGCAGCAGUGAGGAAUAUUGGUCAAUGGUCGGGAGACUGAACCAGCCAAGCCGCGUGAGGGAUGAAGGUACAGAGUAUCGUAAACCUCUUUUGUCAGGGAACAAGGGCGGGGACGUGUCCCCGGAUGAGUGUACCUGAAGAAAAAGCAUCGGCUAACUCCGUGCCAGCAGCCGCGGUAAUACGGAGGAUGCGAGCGUUAUCCGGAUUUAUUGGGUUUAAAGGGUGCGCAGGCGGUCUGUUAAGUCAGCGGUCAAAGCCCGGGGCUCAACCCCGGCCCGCCGUUGAAACUGGCAGUCUCGAGUUGGAGAGAAGUAUGCGGAAUGCGCGGUGUAGCGGUGAAAUGCAUAGAUAUCGCGCAGAAUUCCGAUUGCGAAGGCAGCAUGCCGGCUCCACACUGACGCUGAGGCACGAAAGCGUGGGUAUCGAACAGGAUUAGAUACCCUGGUAGUCCACGCAGUAAACG